GACGAACGCUGGCGGCGUGCCUAUACAUGCAAGUAGGACGCUGAAGAGAGGAGCUUGCUCUUCUUGGAUGAGUUGCGAACGGGUGAGUAACGCGUAGGUAACCUGCCUUGUAGCGGGGGAUAACUAUUGGAAACGAUAGCUAAUACCGCAUAACAAUGGAUGACACAUGUCAUUUAUUUGAAAGGGGCAAUUGCUCCACUACAAGAUGGACCUGCGUUGUAUUAGCUAGUAGGUGAGGUAACGGCUCACCUAGGCGACGAUACAUAGCCGACCUGAGAGGGUGAUCGGCCACACUGGGACUGAGACACGGCCCAGACUCCUACGGGAGGCAGCAGUAGGGAAUCUUCGGCAAUGGGGGCAACCCUGACCGAGCAACGCCGCGUGAGUGAAGAAGGUUUUCGGAUCGUAAAGCUCUGUUGUAAGUCAAGAACGAGUGUGAGAGUGGAAAGUUCACACUGUGACGGUAGCUUACCAGAAAGGGACGGCUAACUACGUG
rnacentral:rRNA from 1 species